rnacentral:sRNA from 1 species
GGCGGAACAUGGGAAAGCAGGAUGAGAACCUAUAGGUUCGACCCGAGCAUGUAGUGCGAGGGAACGGCGGAGCAACGCGAUGCCGGCCCUGAAAGGGUGAGGCGCGCAGCGCCGAAUAAUCCUGCAGCCCCAAGCA